UUAUAUAUAUAAAAAAAGUUUCCCGUAAUCUUCAGAAAAUUCAGAUUCUUUAGGAAAACAAAUCCCCUAUUUUUGUAUACAGACACAGACCAUCUUAAAAUAUUUCACCAAAGCAAGUCAGUCUCAUUACUUCUGUUUAACCGAUAGACCCGUUUCUGUGGGAGGAUGCGGAGGAGAGAGGAAAUGAGGCUGCUUGGAAGGGUUUGCAGGUGUGAGGGUGAAGCUGGGCAGACGUCGGUUUCCAUUUCUCCUGACGCUAAGGCAGAGGAAGGACGGAGCGUGGGGUGAAGGGAGUUGUCCUCCUUUUCCUCACACCUUCUAUUUACACUUGCUUGUGGCAAAAGAGCACUUUUGCCGAGAGUAUCACUGUUGUGCAGAAGCAGCAGACCCCAUCCCAGCUUUUGCUUUUCCAGCCUAAUUCAAGUUGUUCACCCAAAGUCCCGUGGGACCACCUCCCCUGCAUACACAGUUAGCUCAUCAUGGGACAGCAGCUGUUGACCAAUAAAUAUGUAUUUAUCCUUUGCUUUUUGCAGAUGGAAGAGCUGAAAUACUCUGGUCUUUAGAUGAUAGAGCCUUGAAUGGUGUAGGAUGAGAUGCUGAGUAACGUGGAGGCAACAGGACAUGGGGAAAAACUUCGCUCAGAUCACACACGGUCUGGGAAGAGUUUUCAUGAUGAUUUUUAAAAGAGUGUAGCUGCCAACUAAAUUCAAGUUAAUGCUGAAGGAGCGUAAGGAGCAUCCUGGCAACACAACAGGGAGAAGCCUCCUGGGAUUCAGCUCGGCUGAGGUGGGAGGAUGUGGCAGCAACGGGCUCGCUCUGAGUGAAACACCUUCCCAGGCAGGAACGGGACCAAACAGGACGUGUUGGUGCAUCUGUCAAGAUUCCUGCUCUGGAAAAGAAGAUCAGAGCAAAUGGGGACUGAAGAGAACAAAAGCUGACCCAAACCUUUGACCUAAACUUAACAUAAAGCCAAAUGAAACC